rnacentral:lncRNA from 1 species
AGACUUGGCAAGCCUCUAAUAUCAACACUCAAACACAUAUGCAAGUUCAAAUCAAAAGGUCUUUUCAUGGUUGUAAUGGGACCAAGGACAAGGGAGGAUACAUCUGGAUAAGAAGCUACAAACCAUAAGGAACAGAGGAGCAAUGGGGAACAAGUGUAAACACAUUCAAACACACCCACAACCUCUAAUUCCAUCCUCUUCUUGACUCCAUUAUUCACAAAAAAAAAAUUCUGUAAUUUUUUUCCUUUUUUUUU